rnacentral:rRNA from 1 species
GUGGGGAAUAUUGGACAAUGGGGGGAACCCUGAUCCAGCCAUGCCGCGUGUGUGAAGAAGGCCUUUUGGUUGUAAAGCACUUUAAGCGAGGAGGAGGCUACCGAGAUUAAUACUCUUGGAUAGUGGACGUUACUCGCAGAAUAAGCACCGGCUAACUCUGUGCCAGCAGCCGCGGUAAGACAGAGGGUGCAAGCGUUAAUCGGAUUUACUGGGCUUAAAGAGCGCGUAGGUGGCCAAUUAAGUCAAAUGUGAAAUCCCCGAGCUUAACUUGGGAAUAGCAUUCGAUACUGGUUGGCUAGAGUAGGGGAGAGGAUGGUAGAAUUCCAGGUGUAGCGGUGAAAUGCGUGGAGAUCUGGAGGAAUACCGAUGGCGAAGGCAGCCAUCUGGCCUAAUACUGGCACGGAGGUGCGAAAGCAUGGGGCGCAAACAGGAUUAGAUACCCUGGUAGUCC